rnacentral:rRNA from 1 species
AUUGAACGCUGGCGGCAUGCUUUACACAUGCAAGUCGAGCGGCAGCGCGGGGGCAACCCUGGCGGCGAGCGGCGAACGGGUGAGUAAUGCAUCGGAACGUAUCCUCGAGUGGGGGAUAACCCAGCGAAAGUUGGGCUAAUACCGCAUGAGCUCUGAGGAGGAAAGCGGGGGACCUGCGAGGGCCUCGCGCUGGGGGAGCGGCCGAUGUCCGAUUAGCUAGUUGGUGGGGUAAAGGCUUACCAAGGCGACGAUCGGUAGCUGGUCUGAGAGGAUGAUCAGCCACACUGGGACUGAGACACGGCCCAGACUCCUACGGGAGGCAGCAGUGGGGAAUUUUGGACAAUGGGGGCAACCCUGAUCCAGCCAUGCCGCGUGAGUGAAGAAGGCCUUCGGGUUGUAAAGCUCUUUCGGACGGAACGAAAUGGGCGGGACUAAUACUCCUGUCUGAUGACGGUACCGUAAGAAGAAGCACCGGCUAACUACGUG